rnacentral:lncRNA from 1 species
UCCUACUAUUAAGAAAUCAAAAGACGCCUGUGAUUUUAACCUAACGAGUUAUUAUUACUAGCGGGUCGGAUUGUGACUUUUGAUAUCAGAAUCGAUUCACCAGCCGGAAGUGUGAGAUGAAUCUUGACUAACAGACUAAGCUAAGAUCGGUGAAUGACAGACUAAAUUAGGGUCGGAAUGACAAGGUUUGCAAGACAAAUCUCAUAUUGUCUGGUGAUCUUGGACUGUAUGUGUUCAGGGCGAGUGCCACAAGCGUAUAAAAUUAUUAUUUUAAUUUUUUAGAAUUUAGAAUUUAAAAUCUAUAAUUUUAGAAUUUAAAAUUUAAGAUUUAGAGCAUAAUAUUUAGAUUUUUAAAGUGAUG